CUUUCUCCUUCUCUCCCUCCCUCUUUCUCGCAUAAAAUUUUUUUUAAAGAAUUAUGCUAAAUUUAUUCUGCCUCGGCUCUAUAAAUAGAACAAAGCCCAAAUGACAGCACAUCUGUUUACAGCAUGGUUUACUGAAUAGUUUAAACUUAAUAUUGAGACCUACUGCUCUGGAAUAAAAAAACAUUAUUUCAAAACACGGCUGCUCACUGAAAUACACCGGUCACCCAAACGCUCGGACAGAAACAUGCAAGGUGAGUGUUGUUUCCGUGCCUGGUAACACAGCCUGCAUUCUGCAGCCCAGGGAGCGAGAUGCCAUUUCUAUGUUCGAGUAUUACUGUUUCCAAAACACAUUCUAUAAGCCAGAGCUGCCAUACCUAGAGAGCCCUCUGACGGAUCUGGGAAAAGGAAAUCCCAGAUCCCCCAAGCAGAGCCCCCAUUCUGAUGCCAUUAGUAACAGGCAUGAUUCGUGGGAGGAGAUCGGAAUCUAUAGUCCAGGAGUUGGGGGGGUCAGCUCCAACGCUCGUGAACGACUGGGAAUUCGGACGGCAGAUGUGGACACAGCGAGAGAACUGGAAUUAGACGGGCAGGCUGAGGACGUGCCGGGCUCGCUGCAACCUCAUGGCAGACGUGAAGGGAUAGAGAGCUGCUUCUUAGGAGAAGAAAAGUAGCUCCUUGGCAUCAAACACCCUCCUGGUGCCCAUGCCAUCCACGCUGUCGAGAUGGCAGUGAAGGAGUUGGAGUGCCGCACAGCUCAGCAGGGUCCGAGGGACGAUCGGACUGACGGACUCCAAGGGAAACCCUGCUGUGGGUAAAACCCUGCCGGCGGCAUCGCGUGCUGCAGAGAAGCAGGUCACGGAAGGCAGCAGACCUCCUCGUCGACUCUAGGAAACUGCCACAGCCACCCAGCCCUCGGCAGUCACCACCUCGACCCGUCAGCUGCCAUCGACACCUGGGCAAGACCUUUGCCUGCACGAGGGUGACACCUCGCCCAAGGCUCAGAGGUCACCUGCUGUUCUGAGCGACGAGGUGUGUGCAAGCCAGUGUGCAAGCCGCUCCCAGACAUAUGCUGUCCCACACGGACUACGGCACGGUGUGACCUGACUUACGCACUGGGAAACCCAACCCCACACUCGCGCAACUCGCUCUGCUGUGACUCGGUUAUUGGAGCGGAGCCACAUACCUCCAAGGUAGCCUGGAUGAGCUGCCUGCGGAGGGAGGGCGGGUGGAGGGUAGAGGGCGGCACCCACACACUCGGCCUACCUUACCCAGACUGUCACUUCACAGUCCGUGCACUGGGCUGCACUGUCCCCGACCCCUAUGGGGACAGUGUCAGGAGGUGGGGCCUCUGGGGGGUGAUGAGCUCAGGAGGGUGAGCCCACAGGAGUGGGAGGAGUGCCCUCCUAGAAGGGGCCCCAGAGAGCGGCCUUGCCCUGUGGGCCGCGUGAAGUCGCAGAAAGAAGGACCUCUGUGACCAGGAGGUGGGCCCACAGCAGACACCGGAUCCGAGAGCUCGACCCUGGAGUGCCAGCUCCCGCGUCUGUGGGAAGUCCAUUUCUGCCGUGUGUGCAUCGCUCGGUGGAGGGCAUUUCGUCACGCCAACUGGAACAGCCCGCGCUAAGCCCACAGCCACCCUGCACCGUUGGCACCACCUCACUCUGCAAACAAAGUGACAGGGAGCUCAAGGGUCAGCUCACUUGUCCCACAGUGUCCCAGCCCUGGGUUAAGGCUGACGUCUGAGCCCACGUGUUCUGAGGUCAAAUGUUCCACGUUACUUUGGCCCUCUCAGAGGAUUUCCAGAGCCCAGACCUGUGCUGGGAACUGGAGGCCUAAAAGGUGUCACUUUAGGGGAUUUACGAGUGCCAGAGGGGGUCUAAUAACCACUUCAGACAACUUUACUCAGACCAUCUGAAGGUCAAGGAAUCACAGCAAGCAUGCUCUUUGCAAUGACCUUGCUGAAUGGGUGCUUGCGUUUACCGUGCAGCUGUGGAGCGAAAUCCAGAGGAAUCUGGCCUCGGUUCAGGAGGGCUGUGACCUUCUGUGCUGACAGCACCGUGCCCAGACUUCUGCCCGCGUUCCCCUCACAUCUACUGACCGACGUUCCUGGUUUCUUCAUCCGACCAGCUCAUCCCCUCAGCAGCUACUGCGGGCGAUGGCUCAUCCUGAAACGGCCCCCAUGGCGCAGGGCCCUACGCACUUCCUAUCCAGUCUCACAUUUGGCUUUUGUUUGGGGGCAUUUCCAAAGCAUCAGACAGACCUGCAUCCGCGGCGUGAGUCCGUGCUGCACCAACGGUUCUGCCUGUGGGUGCGAUACAGUUUUUAUUUUCUUACCACCACCAGAGGUUUGUCUGUUACCACAAACCAGUGACACGCUGCUUUACUGAGCGUCUCCCAAACGCAAAAGUGCUGGUUCUCCCAAGAAAGCUUUUGCAUAACA